UUAAGUUCAGCGGGUAGUCCUACCUGAUCCGAGGUCGAUUUCAAAAAUAGGGGGCGUUGUCCGGCUAACGCACGACCGACAACUCCGGGGCGACAGCUAAAUGUCACUACGCCAGGGAGUCCGGCUACGUCGCCGCUGCGUUUCGAGGGCGCCCCAGCGGGGCGGCCUCCAAUACCAAGCAGAGCUUGAGGGUGCAAAUG
rnacentral:misc_RNA from 1 species